CAUCAUGGCAAAGAACAUAAUCUUUUUGGCUAAACACGUAGACGCAGAGCAAGAAUCAAACAGUCCUGCUGGAGCGUGAAACAGUUGGGGAGCAGAAAUAAUCGACACCGAAGGAGCUAAUUAGUAAAUCCAUCUACAGUACAACCAAAUCUAGGGAUAAAGUGGACGGAAGCAACCCAUUCCAGUUUGAGAAAGGAAGGGACGAGACAUGCACAAAAUCAAAAGUCGAUCGCGCGAGCAACCGCUCGUAAGCAAACCCCAGUAGAAAGGGCGAGGGGCCGGGGACGGGAUAGAGAGUGGGGAGACUCACGGCGAAGUGCGCGAGGUUGACGACGGUCCAGGCAGCCCCCGGGGAGCAUCCGGAGACGGAGAGGACGAGGAGCCAAGCGAAGAAGAGCAGGAGGAUGUAGGUGGUCCAGACGCCCGGGUACAUGAACCACUCCGUGUUCUUGUUCACGUCCACCGGCGGCGCCGCCUCGACGUAGUAGGGCUCCCCUCUCCGCCCCAUCCCUGCUCAGCGCAGGCCUGGUGGUCGUGCCGACGGCGCUGGAUCUCGGGGGUUUACUUUCCGCGGUGGCGCGGGGGGUAGUAGGUGCACGGAAGGAAAGGCCAGGGGCCGAUGGUGUCGUGCUGUGGUGUGCGAGUGAUGGCCGGCGAGCCGUGCGCGGACGGUGCGUGGAGUGAGAGAUGGAUGGCAACGGUUGCCGUCUGGGGACUCCGGAUUGCGGAUAUGCGUUGGGU
rnacentral:lncRNA from 1 species